rnacentral:rRNA from 1 species
UACGAAGGGUGCAAGCGUUACUCGGAAUUACUGGGCGUAAAGCGUGCGUAGGCGGUUUGUUAAGUCCGUUGUGAAAGCCCCGGGCUCAACCUGGGAACGGCGCGCGAGACGGGGGGGCUGGAGUUCGGGAGAGGAGCGUGGAAUUCCCAGUGUAGAGGUGAAAUUCGUAGAUAUUGGGAAGAACACCGGUGGCGAAGGCGGCGCUCGUGGACCGAGACUGACGCUGAGGCGCGAAAGCGUGGGGAGCAAACAGG